rnacentral:rRNA from 1 species
GGACUACUGGGGUAUCUAAUCCUGUUUGCUCCCCACGCUUUCGCGCCUCAGCGUCAGUUACGGUCCAGAUAGCCGCCUUCGCCACCGGUGUUCUUCCCAAUAUCUACGAAUUUCACCUCUACACUGGGAAUUCCACUAUCCUCUCCCGUACUCAAGCACACCAGUCUCAAGCGCAAUUCCCGGGUUGAGCCCAGGGCUUUCACGCCUGACUUGGUGCGCCGCCUACGCGCCCUUUACGCCCAGUAACUCCGAACAACGCUAGCCCCCUUCGUAUUACCGCGGCGGCUGGCAC